GCGGUGAUUGAAGAGCAAGAGCACGCACGUCAGUGGCACCCUGUCUGAAAAUGCGUAACACGCACACCGAGGGCGCUUGCUUCGUCGGACGACAGACCACACGCCGGCGGCUCUCGUCACCACGUCCUGCACCGUACUGCGGCUACGGCAUUAAAGGGUGAGUUCGAUGUUCUGGUCUGAGCUGAGCCUGCGAUCCUAACAAAUUGGACGAGACUGGAACGGCGACCCAGGAGGUGGCACUUCACAGGCUUGUGACCUCCAGCUGUUGUUGGCCGCUAUGCUUGCGAGUGCACGACACAGAAACAGCCGGUGUCCUUGAAUAUCAGGGUGGAGGUGGCAAACGGAGCAGCUUGGCUCAAGCUUUCAUGGACUGAAGGCACCUAACUGCGCCAAAAGCUGUUGCUAGCACGUCAGCAGGUCUAACGCAGCUAAAAAGAAAAGUAUCGGUCUGUCGCGCACCCCGAACUGGUUGUAAGAACA